rnacentral:rRNA from 1 species
GAUGAACGCUGGCGGCGUGCCUAAUACAUGCAAGUCGAGCGAACAGAUGAGGAGCUUGCUCCUCUGACGUUAGCGGCGGACGGGUGAGUAACCCGUGGAUAACCUACCUAUAAGACUGGGAUAACUUCGGGAAACCGGAGCUAAUACCGGAUAAUAUAUUGAACCGCAUGGUUCAAUAGUGAAAGACGGUUUUGCUGUCCCUUAUAGAUGGAUCCGCGCCGCAUUAGCUAGUUGGUAAGGUAACGGCUUACCAAGGCAACGAUGCGUAGCCGACCUGAGAGGGUGAUCGGCCACACUGGAACUGAGACACGGUCCAGACUCCUACGGGAGGCAGCAGUAGGGAAUCUUCCGCAAUGGGCGAAAGCCUGACGGAGCAACGCCGCGUGAGGGAUGAAGGUCUUCGGAUCGUAAAACUCUGUUAUUAGGGAAGAACAAAUGUGUAAGUAACUAUGCACGUCUUGACGGUACCGAAUCAGAAAGCAACGGCUAACUACGUG